CCCCCCGUUGAAACGGGGGGCUAUUUUCUGUCGUCCCUGCCGGGACU
rfam:Planctomyces sp. SH-PL14, complete genome.